AGCAAUUUCAUUUUUAACCUCAAUCAAUAUGUGUACAUUUUUAAACAUUGAAGCUAAAUUUAAAACUGAGAAACCAUAAAAAAGUGGAAAAAUCGAAUGGAACUGAUAAACUUUGUGGUUAAUUAAAAUAAAUAUGCGAAUGUAGAUGGAAUUUUGUCUAUGGAAUAGUCAAGGAAUUACGUUAACUUCAAAUGUAAGUAACAUAUAUGAAUAUUAGAGAAUUGCCCUACAAUCUAUACAAAAAUGGAACAAUAGAAGACAGAAAUGGAAGUUGAAGACAUAGACAUCUACUGAAGCCAAGCCAUUCGCUUGAGACCUAUUCAAUCCUCAAACUCUUUUGAAGAACUACCCUACACUCUAUACAUAUAUGGAAUAAAAAAAAACAUAUAUUGAAUCUCAGCUAAGUAAUCUGUUUGAGGCCCAUUUAACCCUCAAACUCUGUUCAAAUACAUAAUCAAAACUAGUACAUAAUUUCAAAUUGAUAUAAUUUUAUUGUAGCGGAACUGCCAUACACUCUACAAUUAAAUGAAAUAAAUUGAAUAUGUAGACAUUAUGGACAUGUACUUGAACCUUGAGCCAAGUUGUCUGCUUCAGACCCCUUCAACUCUCAAAUUCUGAACAAAUACAAAACAGGAUGAGUACAUAAUUUCAAAUUGAUAUCAUUAUAUAUCAGAAGAACUGUCCGAUACUCACUACACAUAAAUUGUAUAAAAAAGAAUAUAAAUUGAAGACGAUGACAUUUCUGGCAUCUACUUGAACCCUAAGCCAAGUUGUCUGCUUGAGCCCCCUUCAACUCUCAAAUUCUAACUGCCAUACACACUUCACACCAAUGAUAUAAAAAAGGAUAUAAAUUGAGGAUGAAGACAUUUCAAGCGUCUACUUGAACCCCACAUCAAGUCAUCUGCUUGAGGACCCUUCAACCCUCAAAUUCUGAACAAAUACUGAACAGUAUGAGUAUAUAAUUUGAAAUUGAUGUCAUUAUAUAUCACAAGAACUGUCCUAUACUCACUACACAUAAAUUGUAUAAAAAAGGAUAUAAAUUGAAAAUGUAGACAUUACUGGCAUCUACUUGAACCCUAAGCCAAGACAUCUGCUUAAGCCCCCUCCAACUCUCAAGUUCUGUACAAAUACAUAAUCAAUACUGGUACAUAAUUUAAAAUUGAUAUCAUUUUUUUGAAGAACUGUCAUACACAUUACACACCAAUGAUUUAAAAAAGGAUAUAAAUUGAGGAUGAAGACAUUACAAGCAUCUACUUGAACCCCAUAUUAAGUCAUCUGCUUGAGGACCCUUCAACCCUCAAAUUCUGAACAAAUACUUAACAGUAUGAGUAUAUAAUUUGAAAUUGAUGUCAUUAUAUAUCACAAGAACUGUCCUAUACUCACUACACAUAAAUUGUAUAAAAAAGGAUACAAAUUGAAGAUGAAGACAUUACAGGCAUCUACUUGAAUUCCAAAUCAAGUCAUCAGCUUGAGCCUCCUUCAAUUUUCAAAUUCUGUACAAAUACAUAAUCAAGUACAUAAUUUAAACUUAAUAUCAUUUUUUUGAAGAAGAACUGCUGUAUACACUUCACAUCAAUGGUAUAAAAAAGGAUAUAAAUUGAAGAUGAAGACAUUAGAUGCAUCUACUCGAACCACAAAUCAAGUCAUCUGCUUGAGGACCAUUUGACUCACAAA